rnacentral:rRNA from 1 species
AUUGAACGCUGGCGGCAUGCUUUACACAUGCAAGUCGAACGGUAACAGGUUAAGCUGACGAGUGGCGAACGGGUGAGUAAUGCAUCGGAACGUGCCCAAUCGUGGGGGAUAACACUUCGAAAGAAGUGCUAAUACCGCAUACGAUCUGAGGAUGAAAGCGGGGGACCGUAAGGCCUCGCGCGAUCGGAGCGGCCGAUGUCAGAUUAGGUAGUUGGUGGGGUAAAGGCUCACCAAGCCGACGAUCUGUAGCUGGUCUGAGAGGACGACCAGCCACACUGGGACUGAGACACGGCCCAGACUCCUACGGGAGGCAGCAGUGGGGAAUUUUGGACAAUGGGCGCAGGCCUGAUCCAGCAAUGCCGCGUGCAGGAAGAAGGCCUUCGGGUUGUAAACUGCUUUUGUACGGAGCGAAAAGGCUCCCUCUAAUACAGGGGGCUCAUGACGGUACCGUAAGAAUAAGCACCGGGUAACUACGUGCCAGCCGCCGCAGUAA